rnacentral:tRNA from 1 species
GGAGUUGUGGCUCAGUGAUAGAGCACUCGCCUAGCACACGUGAUACACUGGGUUCAAUUCUCAGCACCA